AGUGUCCCUCCCAGCCUGUGAGCUUCUAGAAGGCAUUGCAACCCGGCACAGGAGCUGACACAAAUAUUCAGGAACAAGCAAGUCCUCGAAGUCUCAUGUAGGGGAAAGAUCUUGAGAUCUGGAGGUGAAGGAGUGGCCCUAACUGGCCCUAAACACUUCAGGUGCCCCUGGGCAUGUGGUUUCAUGGCUCUGAGCCUUGAUUUCUUCUCUGGGUCUUCCUCUGUCACCCAGGCUGCAGUGCAGUGGUGCAAUCAUGGCUCACCGCAGCCUCAGCCUCCUGGGAUCAAGGGAUCCUCCCACCUCAGCACCCCGAGUAGCUGGGACCACAGGCGGAUGCCACAGCAUCUGGCUGUUCGUAUAUUUUGUAGACAGGGUUUCACCAUGUUGGCCAGGCUGGUCUCGAAUUCCUGGGCUCAAAUGAUCCACCUGCCUCAGCCUCCCAAAGUGCUAGGAUUACAGGAGUGACCCACAGUGCCCAGUACCCCCUUUACCUCUGAGCAAUCCAUCUCUUUCCUUGGGGGCACCCCAUGAUCUAGACACCGCCCACCUUGUUCUGCCUUGGCCAAAAUACCACCUAACUGCCCCCACCUAUGCCAGGUGCCCCUCCCCCACCCUCCUCCACCCUUGGCUGAGUCCCACUUGGCUGGUGCCCAGGACAGGGACAGUCCCAGCCCUUCCAGCCCAUCUCCCCACAUCAGUACACUCCGGAGAGCCAGCCAAGAGUAGAUUCUUUAUUCAUUUCUCUUUUUUUCUUAAAAAAAAAAAGUAUUCAUUUGGUAUAAAAAAUAAAUAUUUUAAAUAUGACAUUGAAUAAAUAAAAAUAAUCUGUCAGUAUGAAACAUCCCCACAGGGUACAUUCAUCAAAGAGGAAUUUGUCACCCAAGGCCAUGUGCUUUUCAGUGGAAAGGAAGGAGGGAAACCUCUAAGGCCGCAUGGUGGGCCCACGGAGCUAGCACGUGGGCGGGACUGAAGGCUGGAUGCCGGGAUUGGGGUGGGGAACUAGAGAUGAUUGUAAGGCAGGAACAUCUGUACCAUCUGCAGGGAAAUGCUACCUCCCCGGUUGCCAGAGCUCCAACCCCACACACUAUGUCUACUCUGGAGAGCCGGCAAGGCAGAGCGGGACUGGCUGGGUCAGGGUGGAAGUGCCCCAAGUCAGGGACAAGGAGGACAAUGGGGACGAUGGGGAGGAGAGACAAGUAAACUAGCAGUGCUUUUUUAAAAAAUGUUUAAAGAAUAAAUAAGGGCCCGGAGACGUCUCUCUUGGUAAACUCUCUCUUCCUCCGGCCAGGCACAGGUGUGGUCCACACCAGCAGAUAAAAAGGGAAGAGAAACCCAGCUCCCGGCCUGGCAGAGCUGUUUCACGCAAAGGCUCUGUGAUUCAGUGAUGCUGUGCAGGGUGGACGCCAAGCUGCCGGACGGGAUCUGGAGGGAGCACUGAGGAUGGGUCCCAUGGGGCCAAGUCCAGGCUGGGCGGGAGAGCGACUCAGAGCCAGGGUCGCAAGGUGGGCCUG